rnacentral:rRNA from 1 species
GAUGAACGCUGGCGGCGUGCCUAAUACAUGCAAGUCGAGCGAACAGACGAGUAGCUUGCUCUUCUGACGUUAGCGGCGGACGGGUGAGUAACACGUGGAUAACCUCCCUAUAAGACUGGGAUAAAUUCGGGAAACCGGAGCUAAUACCGGAUAAUAUAUUGAAUCGCAUGGUUCCAUAGUGAAAGACGGUUUUGCUGUCACUUAUAGAUGGAUCCGCGCCGCAUUAGCUAGUUGGUAAGGUUACGGCUUACCAAGGCAACGAUGCGUAGCCGACCUGAGAGAGUGAGCGGCCUAGCUGGAACGGGGGCGCGGACCAGACUCCUGCGAGAGGCAGCAGUAGCGAAUCUUCCGGAAAGGGCGAAAGCCUGACGGAGCAACACCGCGUGAAUGAUGAAGGUCUUCAGGUCGUAAAACUCUGUUAUUAGGGAAGAACAAAUGUGUAAUUAACUAUGCACGACUUGACAGUACCUAAGCAGAAAGCCACGGCUAACUACGUG